GCCCGGGUGGCGGAAUGGCAGACGCGGAGGUCUCAAAAACCUUUGUCGCAAGACGUGAGGGUUCAAAUCCCUCCCCGGGCACCA
rnacentral:tRNA from 1 species